rnacentral:tRNA from 1 species
GGAGGCUUAGUAUAACGGUAGUAUAACAGAUUCCAAACCUGCUGGUAUGGGUUCGAUUCCUGUAGCCUCUG